rnacentral:ncRNA from 1 species
ACAUGCCUAGUUAAGAGGUAAUAUAUCUUAGCCAAUAGCCUUACUAGCUAAAGGGUAAAGCGAUUUUUCUGAAUGGCAAAUCAUGGCACUAGGAAAGAUACCUUGUAAGUCUAUUGUUAAAGAAAACGACAUCAAUCAGUCGUAUUAUAUGGUGACAUACGUUUAUGUAAAUGUCGAGGAUUCGCAAAGCCGACAAUAAAUAAAUAACGACGGGGGAGUUUGCAAGCCACCUGAGAUAGCGUUAUAGGCU